rnacentral:rRNA from 1 species
GACGAAGGAUGCAAGCGUUAUCCGGAUUCAUUGGGUUUAAAGGGAGCGUAGGCGGUCUUAUAAGUCAGUGGUGAAAGCCUAGAGCUUAACUCUAGAAUUGCCAUUGAUACUGUAGGACUUGAGUAUAGUUGCUGUGGGCGGAAUAUGACAUGUAGUGGUGAAAUACUUAGAGAUGUCAUAGAACACCGAUUGCGAAGGCAGCUCACAAAACUAUAACUGACGCUGAGGCUCGAAAGUGCGGGGAUCAAACAGG